rnacentral:rRNA from 1 species
UACGUAGGGGGCUAGCGUUGUCCGGAAUCAUUGGGCGUAAAGAGCGUGUAGGCGGUCCGGUAAGUCCGUUGUGAAAGUCAAGGGCUCAACCCUUGAAUGCCGGCGGAUACUGUCGGGCUAGAGUCCGGAAGAGGCAAGUGGAAUUCCCGGUGUAGCGGUGAAAUGCGCAGAUAUCAGGAAGAACACCUAUGGCGAAGGCAGCUCUCUGGGACGGUACUGACGCUGAGACGCGAAAGCGUGGGGAGCGAACAGG